AUUGUGGAUCAGGGGUGCUGCACUAUGUGGUGUGGCUGAGAUGAUACCCUUCGAACCUGAAGCGGAUAAUGCCGACGCAGGGACACCGAAGAUAUUAUUC
rfam:Prevotella sp. CAG:924 genomic scaffold, scf214